GCUGUAUCCCUGACGCAUAC
rnacentral:misc_RNA from 1 species